GGGGAAUAUUGGACAAUGGGCGAAAGCCUGAUCCAGCAAUGCCGCGUGAGUGAUGAAGGCCUUAGGGUUGUAAAGCUCUUUUACCAGGGAUGAUAAUGACAGUACCUGGAGAAUAAGCUCCGGCUAACUCCGUGCCAGCAGCCGCGGUAAUACGGAGGGAGCUAGCGUUGUUCGGAAUUACUGGGCGUAAAGCGCACGUAGGCGGCGACUCAAGUCGGAGGUGAAAGCCCGGGGCUCAACCCCGGAACUGCCUUUGAAACUAGGUUGCUAGAAUCUUGGAGAGGUCAGUGGAAUUCCGAGUGUAGAGGUGAAAUUCGUAGAUAUUCGGAAGAACACCAGUGGCGAAGGCGACUGACUGGACAAGUAGUGACGCUGAGGUGCGAAAGCGUGGGGAGCAAAC
rnacentral:rRNA from 1 species